rnacentral:rRNA from 1 species
UACGUAGGGUGCGAGCGUUGUCCGGAAUUAUUGGGCGUAAAGAGCUCGUAGGCGGCUUGUCGCGUCGGAUGUGAAAGCCCGGGGCUUAACUCCGGGUCUGCAUUCGAUACGGGCAGGCUAGAGUUCGGUAGGGGAGAUCGGAAUUCCUGGUGUAGCGGUGAAAUGCGCAGAUAUCAGGAGGAACACCGGUGGCGAAGGCGGAUCUCUGGGCCGAUACUGACGCUGAGGAGCGAAAGCAUGGGGAGCGAACAGG